rnacentral:rRNA from 1 species
GACGAACGCUGGCGGCGUGCUUAACACAUGCAAGUCGAACGGAAAGGCCCUGCUUUUGUGGGGUGCUCGAGUGGCGAACGGGUGAGUAACACGUGAGUAACCUGCCCUUGACUUUGGGAUAACUUCAGGAAACUGGGGCUAAUACCGGAUAGGAGCUCCUGCUGCAUGGUGGGGGUUGGAUAGUUUCGGCGGUUGGGGAUGGACUCGCGGCUUAUCAGCUUGUUGGUGGGGUAGUGGCUUACCAAGGCUUUGACGGGUAGCCGGCCUGAGAGGGUGACCGGCCACAUUGGGACUGAGAUACGGACCAGACUACAAGGGGAGGCAGCAGUGGGGAAUAUUGCACAAUGGGCGGAAGCCUGAUGCAGCAACGCCGCGUGCGGGAUGACGGCCUUCGGGUUGUAAAACGAUUUCGCAUGUGACGAAGCGUGAGUGACGGUAAUGGGUAAAGAAGCACCGGCUAACUACGUG